AACUUUCACAACGGAUCUCUGGCUCUCGCAUCGAUGAAGAACGCAGCGAAAUGCGAUAAGUAAUGUGAAUGCAGAUUUCAGUGAAUCAUCGAAUCUUUGAACGCACCUUGCGCUCCUUGGUAUUCCGAGGAGCAUGCCUGUUUGAGUGUCA
rnacentral:rRNA from 1 species